UUUGGCGGCUUUAGCGCGGUGAAUUUACCUGACCAUGCCGAACUCAAGUGAAACGCCGUAGCGCCGAUGGUAGUGUGGGGUCUCCCCCAUGUGAGUAGUAGAGACUGCCGGGC
rnacentral:rRNA from 1 species